UACGUAGGGCGUAAGCGUUGUCCGGAAUUAUUGGGCGUAAAGAGCUCGUAGGCGGUCUGUCGCGUCUGCCGUGAAAACCCGAGGCUUAACCUCGGGCUGGCGGUGGAUACGGGCAGACUAGAGGUAGGUAGGGGAGAAUGGAAUUCCCGGUGUAGCGGUGAAAUGCGCAGAUAUCGGGAGGAACACCGGUGGCGAAGGCGGCUACCUGGACAGAAACUGACGCUGAGGCGCGAAAGCUAGGGGGGCAAACAGG
rnacentral:rRNA from 1 species